GGAGGUGCACGCUUGAUAGCCAAGGGAGAGGAGGCCUGGUUGAAGUUUCGAAGCUGCGAAAAUACAGCCUGUCGUGGGUUUUCAGUGACGGUGAGACAAGAAACACCAUCAGGAAGGAUGGGAGAAGAAGGACUUUGCAAUCAAAAUGAUUUUCGGUGUGCAGGGCGAGAGGAGGGAACAAUUUGCCUGGGCAGCGAGUCAGUUUGUGAUGGUUUUGAGCAGUGUAAGGACAAAUCGGAUGAGACGCAUUGUGGCUCCUCACAACAAGUCAAAUUUGAUAUCUCUGCAUGCAAGAAAUGUCCUGAUAAUCAGCAAUACGACAAUGGUA